rnacentral:rRNA from 1 species
UGUAGUCAUAUGCUUGUCUCAAAGAUUAAUCCAUGCAUGUUUAAGUAUAAGUAUUGUACAGCGAAACUGCGAAUGGCUCAUAACAUCAGUUAUUAUUUAUUUGAUAAUCGAAAGUUACAUGGAUAACCGUGACAAAUUACAGCUAAUACAUGCAGUCAGAUCUGGUCCAAGGGUCGUAAUUAUUAGUAUUAAACCAUUUCCGAAAGGAGUGUGAUGAAUCAUAAUAAUCGAACGAAUCGCCUGGUGUGCGAUAAAUCAUUCAAGUUUCUGCCCUAUCAGCUUUGGAUGGUAGUGUAUUGGACUACCAUGGCAGUCACGGGUAACGGAGAAUUAGGGUUCGAUUCCGGAGAGGGAGCCUGAGAAACGGCUACCACAUCUACGGAAGGCAGCAGGAGCGAAAAUUGCCCAAUCCUGACACGGGGAGGCAGUGACAAGAAAUAACAACUCUAGGUUAUUCUUAGAAGUGUAAUGAGGAUAAUUUACAACCCUUACCGAAAGCAAUUGGAGGGCAAGUCUGGUAAUCG